AUACAGAGGGUGCGAGCGUUAAUCGGAAUUACUGGGCGUAAAGCGCGCGUAGGCGGCUUAUUAAGUCAGAUGUGAAAUCCCCGGGCUCAACCUGGGAACUGCAUCUGAUACUGGUAAGCUAGAGUUUUGGAGAGGGAAGUAGAAUUUCAGGUGUAGCGGUGAAAUGCAUAGAGAUCUGAAGGAAUACCAGUGGCGAAGGCGACUUCCUGACCAAAAACUGACGCUGAGGUGCGAAAGCGUGGGUAGCAAACGGGAUUAGAAACCCUAGUAGUCC
rnacentral:rRNA from 1 species